UACAGAGGGUGCAAGCGUUAAUCGGAAUUACUGGGCGUAAAGGGCUCGUAGGCGGCCAACUAAGUCGGACGUGAAAUCCCCAGGCUCAACCUGGGAACUGCGUCCGAUACUGGAUGGCUUGAAUCCGGGAGAGGGAUGCAGAAUUCCAGGUGUAGCGGUGAAAUGCGUAGAUAUCUGGAGGAAUACCGGUGGCGAAGGCGGCAUCCUGGACCGGCAUUGACGCUGAGGAGCGAAAGCCAGGGGAGCAAACGGG
rnacentral:rRNA from 1 species